CCACCCACACACGUUGCGAUCCCCUCGACCUCGACGUUAGCGCCGCCGAUCUCGUGGAGGAGACCCCGUCGGAUCUAGCUGCCGCUGGACGACUCGAGAAGACCCCGCCGGAUCUCGCCCUCGUCAUCAGUUCUGUAUCGCCGUCGUCGUGGCCACGGUAAAGCCGCCGUCCCCGCCGCGGAUCCCCUCCGGAAUACCCCGCCGAUCGCCGCCGCAGGCCGGUUUCAACCCCAGGUAAUCCUACCAACUCAAUACCCCGUCGGAUCUAGCCGCCGCCGCAGGCCGCCCCUCCGCCGCACUUCCAACCGCUGGCGUGCAACCUGUACCAGGGGUGGUGGACGUACGACGCGGAGGCGUCCCAGGUGCCACUGUACAGGGAGCCGGUGUGCGAGUUCCUGACGGAGCAGGUGACCUGCAUGCGCAACGGCCGGCGCGACGACUCGUACCAGCGGUGGCGCUGGCAGCCUUCCUCCUGCGACCUCCCCAGGUUCAACGCGCGGUUGCUGCUGGAGCGGCUGCGGAACAAGAGGCUGAUGUUCGUGGGGGACUCGCUGAAGUCGAUGUUGUGCCUGGUGUCGGUCGGCGAUCCCGUCGCGCGGCCAAAAGUCCCUGGCCAAGUUCGUGGGGCCCAACGGCUCUCUCAAUGUGUUCAUGGCGGCGGAUUACAACGCGACGGUGGAGUUCUACUGGGAGCUCCAACUCGGACGACCCGCAGGCGCACGUGCUGGACCCGUCAUCGCCUGGCGGUCCAUUCCCAAGCACGCCCGGCACUGUUGAGCCGCCCACUUCCUCGUCUUCAACGAGAUGAAAGUGUUGAAGAAUCCUCGGGCGUUGCCGGACAAGUACACGAGUGCAAGCACAACGUAACAUAUUUGGGCAAACCGGCCAUUCUACGUGUUUGGUCUUGGAUCGGCAAGCUACAUCAACGGUGUCAGGUUCUCUAGCUAGGUCCAGAAGAAUGAAGGAGUACAUGCCAUAGAUCGAUUUCGUGGUGGAUACAGGAGGUGUGAUCCACUUCACCAUGCUGGACCCGAAGGGCGCAAAGUCUAUCUCAUGAACUAGCCGUGCAUCUUGCUCAACACCUUUCCAUAUAUGUACAAUCAGGCAGGUAUUUCCUCGCGUACGCGGUUGCUGGCUGCUAGAUUAAACUUCUGUUUCAGAGCGUUCCAGGUUAUGUGAGUGCAUGUUUGACCAAUUGCAGUUUAUCCCGGCUAAGGUUCUACAUUGCAUGCCUCAAAUACCUGAUCAUGUGGCUUCCUUUCGUUAGCUUUGAGUACUCAAUGUAGAGGUUUCCCUUCUUGAGUCAUACAUACCUCAAAUCGAUAGUUCUCUCUAACUUCACAAAUAUUUGGUGCGUGUAUAUAUCACUUUAUUUAGGAAAUACUCAAAUUGCAGAGUUUGUUUCAUUGUUAAUCACUUGAAUAACUUGGAUUACUCUGAAAUCAGACUCCCUUUUCGAAGCACAAUAGGACUCCUUUUUAUAGACACAUUUCAACUAUGGUGCUAAUAUCUUCUUUUCUGGGAAGUGCUAUAUAUGUUAAGAUUCCUCCACCAUGUCUACCACACCUCUCAUCCUUUUCUAAGAUGUUGACUACUGAAUAAUGACCCAAGUUAACAAGAUUGGCAGAGGUUCUAUCUCAUACACUAAAUCUGUCAUCGAACCCAUCAUGCAUUGCAAGGUUUGAUAAUUGUUGUCAAUUCAGAAGGGGGAUUUGCCUCAUUGAAGAUACAGAUAAAAGAUUUUCUGACCUCAUAUCGAUUCUUACUUCCAUUCCUCAUGUGUCCUAUGUCUCACGUCUCUUACACGGGCAGAACGACCUGGGCCGUAGAUUAUACGGUGAACGAGGGCGGUGGCAGCACUAGAGUGAGGCAUGGCUGGUUGAGGAAUAUUUUUUUUAAAUCAUUUACUUACAGACUAAUGUUUGCUAUGCUUCUUUUAGUGAACGCUUGUAUUUUGUUUGAGAGCAUAUCAUGGGUGCACUGCUAAUUUAAUAAUCUUAGCAAUGUAAUGUUAAUCCACCUAAUAUGAUAUAAUAGCUAAAACUAGCAGACAUGCUUCCGUCUUCAUGGUGCUAUGGUAUUAAUCAUUUGGUAGUAAAUUUGCUAACCCAGAUCCUCAAAUCUGCUUUUUUUCUAGAACUCUACAUCUCGAAGUCUGAGGCACUGGCAUACUUAGCCAUGCCAUUAAGAAGCCAAAUCCAUAGGUUGCGAGCGAGAUGUUCGUCCGCACUGUUGCCUGCCUGCCUGCCUGUGAAGCUUCGCCACCAUGCGAAACCCUUUCAAGCUGCUCGAUGUACUCUUCUUUCUUCUGAUUGCAUGUUUUGUAUAUGUGGGUGCUCGUAGUAUGUAUUAGGGUUAAUUGAUCGUUUGAUUCAGCCAUAGUAUUGACGCCGCACGUACAACCUGUUCCAGAUAUAUUUCUAGAAUAACCCGUGUCUAUAUAGGUUCAAGACUAUUACAGUCCAUGUCAUUUUGGUACUUGUAUGUUCAUACGGCCAACCAUUGGCCAGUAGUUGGUUGUGCAGCAGGAGAUGAUAUGACUUCAGUUCUUCUUCACAUAAACAUCUCCAUCCUUAUUUUUUCUUCAUACGGCCAACCAUUGGCCAGGUUCUACUAUUCUGAAGUAACUGAAUUUAUCUUAUUUCAUUUGAUUAGUACUGUUGGGCUGCUGGCAGUUAUUGUUCAGAAGCCUGAUUGUAUAUUAAUGGUGAACUUUGGCUGUCUUUAUCCCAAUUUAAGAUGUUAUGGUGCUACACAACUGUAUAUAGCGUGAUAUGGAGGAACCAAAAGUGCCAGAAGCAUCUCUUCAUUAAACAUUCAGGGAUGAAACUUUUUUGGCAUAUGACAAAAUUUUGUUAAAGGUUUUAGCUAUCCUAUUGAGUAAAUCUCAAUCAGUGUUUCCAUACGUGGCUGGGAUCAACAUUAUCAUAAGUAGGUUCAUAUGUACAUGUGAGAGAACCAAGUUUCUAUAGUAUCGUAAGAGGAAAGCCUGAAAAGCAUUUUUCCACAUGUGAUAUUAGUUUCAUCGCUUGAAAAUACUUGAUAAGCGAUCCAGUCCAUUUGUUCAAAAUUGGUGAAACAAUAUGCGCUGGGUAAUAAUUUACCGAGCAGAGCAUUCCACUAAUCAUAUUUCGGGCAUGGCUAAAGUGUGUUACAACUGAAUAAUUUCUUGUGUUAAUACUUGGAGAUCUGGAUGCACAUGAAUAAUGAGCACAUGUUAUCCUCCACAAGUUGCGGCACAUGUUAACGUGAUGCAUGACAAAAGUGUAGCAUUGAUCUAAAAGUUGUUCUUGCAAUUAACAUCUACCUUAAUGGUAACAUAUUCUAUAGCUUAUCCUUAAUUUUUUUUAGAUUUUUGUUAAAAGUAUCGCCUAUUCAUUUUGGGUUAUCCUGUUUGUUAAAGAUGGAGAUUGAAAGGAAGGAUAAUUCUAAUCGUUAGUAUCUUCAUGGGUUCAUUAUCUUCAUAUUCAUAAUUUUAGAUGACCAAUUUCUUUCUUUAACCAGUAAGUAUUAUUAAUUAUUGCCAAUGUCUUUUAUCUCCCUAUACAUCACCUAUCACUGUAUUAUGAUGAUUUGAGACAUAAUGGGGUACUCAUAUUCUUAUGGUUCAUCUAGCAGUAUGUGAUUUGUUGACAUUUUCCCAGCAAUUUCACUUUGGUUUUCUUCUUUGCUUUUAGGUAUUUGUGUUAUUGAUCAUAACUACGUACAUAACAAUGCGACACAAUAUAAUUUGGCAUUUUCAAAGCUAGCACAUGGAGCGGCAAGAGAGAGGAGAGGAGCUACGGUGGCCAGGUAACUCGAGGAUGGAGGGGAAUUGGUGUAGAAUAAGCCUGCACUCUUCAAGAAAAUACAUAGGAUAAUUAUGAAACAAGGUACUGGAAAACAGAGUACAUAUAGGUGACCAAAUACUUGAGGGGCUGUAACUACAAGACUAAAAUUAAUGGAAAGGUAACCCUUUUUCUUUUUUAGAUGAACAAACAGCUAAGCUAGCUGAGGAGCGAUCUCCAGCAGCUCCCCGGUUGCCAGUGGUCAAAGAUUGUCUGCUGAAAGACAAACAAGUGAUCAUGUUCUAGCAUUGUUGAAAGGAGUAGUGAAUGCUGAUGUAUGUACAUUUUUUGUUCAGUGUAUUGGAAGUGCAAAUUUGUAUAUACUUUACUAGCAUUAUUUACUGGAUUUUAACAUAUUUGAUAUAUUGGAUUUUACUAGCACA